rnacentral:lncRNA from 1 species
UUAAAGUUCCAGUAUAUACCAAUACCUAUGUGCUUACAGUUUUAGUUACAAUAAGGAUUCUACCAGAGUGGAUGUUUUAUCUUGCACUUAAAAUGUCUAAACUAUAAAAUUAAAUUCUAUGGAAAACCCAACUUUAAAAAGAAAAUAGAAGAUGAUAUGGAAAACCCACCUUUAAAAAGAAAACCUCCUCUGUUGUACCUAAUGGCUAUCACUGAAACAUCGACUAUACUGCCAUUUUACGUAAUAAGGGUUUUAUACUUGUUAUAUUGCUAGUAGGUAGAAAUAUCCUUUUGACAUGACCCUUUUUGGACCACA